CGCCAUUUAAAGUGGUACGCGAGCUGGGUUUAGAACGUCGUGAGACAGUUCGGUCCCUAUCUGCCGUGGGCGUUGGAAGAUUGAAGGGGGCUGCUCCUAGUACGAGAGGACCGGAGUGGACGAACCUCUGGUGUUCGGGUUGUGUCGCCAGACGCAUUGCCCGGUAGCUAAGUUCGGAAUUGAUAAGCGCUGAAAGCAUCUAAGCGCGAAGCGAGCCCUGAGAUGAGUCUUCCCUGACAGUUUAACUGUCCUAAAGGGUUGUUCGAGACUAGAACGUUGAUAGGCAGGGUGUGUAAGCGUUGUGAGGCGUUGAGCUAACCUGUACUAAUUGCCCGUGAGGCUUAACCAUACAACACCCAAGGGGUUUUGUA
rnacentral:rRNA from 1 species